rnacentral:rRNA from 1 species
GGAUCAGUACACUGGUCGUGCCUUUGGUAUGUACUGGUCUCACUGAUUCCUCCUUCCUGACGAACCAUGAUGUCAUUUAUUUGGUGUUGUGGGGAAUCAGGACUGUUACUUUGAAAAAAUUAGAGUGUUUAAAGCAGGCUCACGCUUGAAUACAUUAGCAUGGAAUAAUGAAAUAGGACGUUUGAUUCUAUUUUGUUGGUUUCUAGGAUCGACGUA